CCUACGGGUGGCAGCAGUGAGGAAUAUUGGUCAAUGGACGAGAGUCUGAACCAGCCAAGUAGCGUGAAGGAUGACUGCCCUAUGGGUUGUAAACUUCUUUUAUAAAGGAAUAAAACGAGGCACGUGUGCCUUUUUGCAUGUACUUUAUGAAUAAGGAUCGGCUAACUCCGUGCCAGCAGCCGCGGUAAUACGGAGGAUCCGAGCGUUAUCCGGAUUUAUUGGGUUUUAAGGGAGCGUAGAUGGGUUGUUAAGUCAGUUGUGAAAGUUUGCGGCUCAACCGUAAAAUUGCAAUUGAUACUGGCAGUCGUGAGUACAGUUGAGGUAGGCGGAAUUCGUGGUGUAGCGGUGAAAUGCUUAGAUAUCACGAAGAACCCCGAUUGCGAAGGCAGCUUACUAAACUGUGACUGACAUUGAUGCUCGAAAGUGUGGGUAUCAAACAGGAUUAGAUACCCUAGUAGUC
rnacentral:rRNA from 1 species